rnacentral:rRNA from 1 species
AACGAACGCUGGCGGCAGGCCUAACACAUGCAAGUCGAGCGAGACCUUCGGGUCUAGCGGCGGACGGGUUAGUAACGCGUGGGAACGUGCCCUUCUCUGCGGAAUAGCCACUGGAAACGGUGAGUAAUACCGCAUACGCCCUUCGGGGGAAAGAUUUAUCGGAGAAGGAUCGGCCCGCGUUAGAUUAGAUAGUUGGUGGGUAACGGCCUACCAAGUCUACGAUCUAUAGCUGGUUUUAGAGGAUGAUCAGCAACACUGGGACUGAGACACGGCCCAGACUCCUACGAGAGGCAGCAGUGGGGAAUCUUAGACAAUGGGCGCAAGCCUGAUCUAGCCAUGCCGCGUGUGUGAUGAAGGUCUUAGGAUCGUAAAGCACUUUCGCCAGGGAUGAUAAUGACAGUACCUGGUAAAGAAACCCCGGCUAACUCCGUG